rnacentral:rRNA from 1 species
GACGAACGCUGGCGGCGUGCUUAACACAUGCAAGCCGAGCGGUAAGGCCCUUUCGGGGGUACACGAGCGGCGAACGGGUGAGUAACACGUGGGUGACCUGCCCUCAGCUCUGGGAUAAGCCUGGGAAACCGGGUCUAAUACUGGAUAUGACUCCAUGACGCAUGUUGUGGGGUGGAAAGCCUUGUGCGGCUGAGGAUGGGCCCGCGGCCUAUCAGCUUGUUGGUGGGGUGAGGCCUACCAAGGCGACGACGGGUAGCCGGCCUGAGAGGGCGACCGGCCACACUGGGACUGAGACACGGCCCAGACUCCUACGGGAGGCAGCAGUGGGGAAUCUUGCGCAAUGGGCGAAAGCCUGACGCAGCGACGCGCGUGAGGGAUGACGGCCUGGUGUAACU